GAUGAAGAACGUAGCGAAAUGCGAUAAGUAAUGUGAAUUGCAGAAUUCAGUGAAUCAUCGAAUCUUUGAACGCACAUUGCGCCCCUUGGUAUUCCCUGGGGCAUGCCUGUUCGAGCGUCACUACAAACCCGCUCAUACAUAUUAUAUGGUAUUGAUGGAAGUGGACCGUGGUUACUAAUAAUGUAUCUGGAUCACCCCAUUGAAAUGUAUAGGCAGGACAGUAAACCUCUGCAAUGGACUUAGUAACUGUUGUGAAAACAUAGACCAGUCCUUUGCCUGGUUCCAGCCUGGCCUCCAUGGACCUCUAUCCAAGAUGAACGCUGGGUUGACCUCGGAUCAGGUAGGGAUACCCGCUGAACUUAAGCAUAUCAAUAAGCGGAGGA
rnacentral:misc_RNA from 1 species